GUAGGUGACCUGCGGAGGAUCAUUAAUGAGUUUUGAUGUGGGUCUCUUGAGCUGGCUUUGCAGGUGCUCAGAGGCUCCCAUUCUCAUCCACUCAACCCCUGUGCACUUUUGAACGCAAGUGAGUCGUCAGUUCCCCUAAGUUGGGAGUGACUUGAUUUGCUUCGUUUAUUAUAAACUCUUUUUAUGUCUUGUAGAAUGCUUUGCCUCUCUGUAGGCGAAAUGUAAUACAACUUUCAACAACGGAUCUCUUGGCUCUCGCAUCGAUGAAGAACGCAGCGAAAUGCGAUAAGUAAUGUGAAUUGCAGAAUUCAGUGAAUCAUCGAAUCUUUGAACGCACCUUGCGCUCCUUGGUAUUCCGAGGAGCAUGCCUGUUUGAGUGUUAUGUUAUCCUCAAUCCCCUUGGUUUUGUUAAAAUAAGACCUCUGGGUUUGGUUUUGGAGGCUUAUGCUGGCUUCACAGUCGGCUCCUCUUGAAAGCAUUAGCUGGGCUUUUGCUCGAUGCAAUGGUGUAAUAAUUAUCAUCACCAGUGCAGCUUGCAGUCAAAGCUUGCUUCUAAUUGUCUCAAUGUGAGACAUUGUAAGGACUUUGAUCCUUUGACAUUUUUGACCUCAAAUCAGGUAGGACUACCCGCUGAACUUAAGCAUAUC
rnacentral:rRNA from 1 species